GACGAACCGAGCGAACGUUGUUCGGAAUCACUGGGCUUAAAGGGCGCGUAGGCGGGCUGCCGCGUCCGGGGUGAAAUCCCACGGCUCAACCGUGGAACGGCCCCGGGUACGGGCGGCCUCGAGGGGGUAGGGGCGUGCGGAACUGUGGGUGGAGCGGUGAAAUGCGUAGAUAUCGUUUGGAACGCCAAUGGUGAAAACAGACAGCUGGGAGUGUGCUGACGCUGAGACACGAAAGCCAGGGGAGCGAACGGG
rnacentral:rRNA from 1 species